CAARUCGAACGAGUUCUCGUUGAUGAUCGGUGCUUGCACCGAGAWUCAACAUGGAACGAGUGGCGGACGGGUGAGUAACACGUGGGUAACCUGCCCUUAAGUGGGGGAUAACAUUUGGAAACAGAUGCUAAUACCGCAUAGAUCCAAGAACCGCAUGGUUCUUGGCUGAAAGAUGGCGUAAGCUAUCGCUUUUGGAUGGACCCGCGGCGUAUUAGCUAGUUGGUGAGGUAAYGGCUCACCAAGGCGAUGAUACGUAGCCGAACUGAGAGGUUGAUCGGCCACAUUGGGACUGAGACACGGCCCAAACUCCUACGGGAGGCAGCAGUAGGGAAUCUUCCACAAUGGACGCAAGUCUGAUGGAGCAACGCCGCGUGAGUGAAGAAGGCUUUCGGGUCGUAAAACUCUGUUGUUGGAGAAGAAUGGUCGGCAGAGUAACUGUUGUCGGCGUGACGGUAUCCAACCAGAAAGCCACGGCUAACUACGUGCCAGCAGCCGCGGUAAUACGUAGGUGGCAAGCGUUAUCCGGAUUUAUUGGGCGUAAAGCGAGCGCAGGCGGUUUUUUAAGUCUGAUGUGAAAGCCCUCGGCUUAACCGAGGAAGCGCAUCGGAAACUGGGAAACUUGAGUGCAGAAGAGGACAGUGGAACUCCAUGUGUAGCGGUGAAAUGCGUAGAUAUAUGGAAGAACACCAGUGGCGAAGGCGGCUGUCUGGUCUGUAACUGACGCUGAGGCUCGAAAGCAUGGGUAGCGAACAGGAUUAGAUACCCUGGUAGUCCAUGCCGUAAACGAUGAAUGCUAGGUGUUGGAGGGUUUCCGCCCUUCAGUGCCGCAGCUAACGCAUUAAGCAUUCCGCCUGGGGAGUACGACCGCAAGGUUGAAACUCAAAGGAAUUGACGGGGGCCCGCACAGCGGUGGA
rnacentral:rRNA from 2 species